rnacentral:rRNA from 1 species
UACGUAGGGCGCAAGCGUUGUCCGGAAUUAUUGGGCGUAAAGAGCUCGUAGGCGGCUUGUCACGUCGGGUGUGAAAGCCCGGGGCUUAACCCCGGGUCUGCAUUCGAUACGGGCUAGCUAGAGUGUGGUAGGGGAGAUCGGAAUUCCUGGUGUAGCGGUGAAAUGCGCAGAUAUCAGGAGGAACACCGGUGGCGAAGGCGGAUCUCUGGGCCAUUACUGACGCUGAGGCGCGAAAGCUAGGGGAGCAAACAGG